UACGUAGGGUGCGAGCGUUGUCCGGAAUUACUGGGCGUAAAGAGCUCGUAGGUGGUUUGUCGCGUUGUUCGUGAAAACCUGAGGCUUAACCUUGGGCGUGCGGGCGAUACGGGCAGACUGGAGUACUGCAGGGGAGACUGGAAUUCCUGGUGUAGCGGUGGAAUGCGCAGAUAUCAGGAGGAACACCGGUGGCGAAGGCGGGUCUCUAGGCCGACACUGACGCUGAGGAGCGAAAGCGUGGGGAGCGAACAGG
rnacentral:rRNA from 1 species